UACGGGGGGGGCAAGCGUUGUUCGGAAUUACUGGGCGUAAAGGGCUCGUAGGCGGCCUACUAAGUCAGACGUGAAAUCCCCAGGCUUAACCUGGGAACUGCGUCUGAUACUGGAUGGCUUGAAUUCGGGAGAGGGAUGCAGAAUUCCAGGUGUAGCGGUGAAAUGCGUAGAUAUCUGGAGGAAUACCGGUGGCGAAGGCGGCAUCCUGGACCGACAUUGACGCUGAGGAGCGAAAGCUAGGGGAGCAAACGGG
rnacentral:rRNA from 1 species